rnacentral:tRNA from 1 species
UAACUGCGCGGCGUGGCUGCGCAGCGCUUCACGAGCGCGGGUACGUUCAGCUUCCGCCUGUUCCAGACGCUGGCGCAGUUUU